AAAGAAAUCUGUAAUAUCAUCAAGCCUGUGACAUCUAAAGAUUAGAUGCUUAGCAGACACGACAACAUUGCAAACUUCUCAAACAUCACAUGAAAAGGCGAUUGGAUUUAACGCGUGCGAUUUCUUUAAAUUCGUCGUUUAGCUGUGGAAGGAUGUGGUUGCGAAUUGCCCGGAUUGCUUCAUUAGGAGUGUAUUUGACGGACAGAAUUAUCCCAUCAACACGAGCUCUCCCUGCAUGAAAGUCGGCUUUUAAAUUAAAAAAAAAACCGCAGUGGCCAGGUACCCAAACAAGGUGACAGUCAUCCACUUGAGUCUCAUGCAACAUCUUAUGAAUUUC